rnacentral:rRNA from 1 species
GAUGAACGCUAGCGGGAGGCCUAACACAUGCAAGCCGAGCGGUAUUUAUUCUUCGGAAUAGAGAGAGCGGCGUACGGGUGCGUAACACGUGUGCAACCUGCCUUUAUCUGGGGGAUAGCCUUUCGAAAGGAAGAUUAAUACCCCAUAAUAUAUUUGAUGGCAUCAUUAGAUAUUGAAAACUCCGGCGGAUAGAGAUGGGCACGCGCAAGAUUAGAUAGUUGGUGAGGUAACGGCUCACCAAGUCGAUGAUCUUUAGGGGGCCUGAGAGGGUGAUCCCCCACACUGGUACUGAGACACGGACCAGACUCCUACGGGAGGCAGCAGUGAGGAAUAUUGGACAAUGGGUGCGAGCCUGAUCCAGCCAUCCCGCGUGAAGGACUAAGGCCCUAUGGGUUGUAAACUUCUUUUAUACUGGGAUAAACCUACUUACGCGUAAGUAGCUGAAGGUACAGUAUGAAUAAGCACCGGCUAACUCCGUG